rnacentral:rRNA from 1 species
ACGCUCGACACCUACGGGAGGUAGCAGUGGGGAAUAUUGCACAAUGGGGGAAACCCUGAUGCAGCGACGCCGCGUGAGCGAAGAAGUAUUUCGGUAUGUAAAGCUCUAUCAGCAGGGAAGAAGAAAGACGGUACCUGACUAAGAAGCCCCGGCUAACUACGUGCCAGCAGCCGCGGUAAUCUGAGCGGGCUGGCAAGGC